rnacentral:rRNA from 1 species
CUUGGUCAUUUAGAGGAAGUAAAAGUCGUAACAAGGUUUCCGUAGGUGAACCUGCGGAAGGAUCAUUAUCGAAAAAGCAAUCCAGAGGGGGGGAGAUGAUCGGGCGAAGUUUGGUAGAUCGUAGGGAUUGUCGCUGGCCUUUGGCAUGUGCACGUUCCGAACUCUCCUUAGUCCUCGUUCGCUCUUUCCUUUUGGAGACCUUUACUCAACACCCGUGCACCUUAUUGUAGGUCCUGCAAGGGAUCUAUGUCUUUAUCUACCCCCAAACGUAUGUCUUAGAAUCUCAUUUAAUGCGUCGAUCGGCCCGGCUAACGCCUCGUCGGCGACGGUAAAGAAUCAUACAACUUUCAGCAACGGAUCUCUUGGCUCUCGCAUCGAUGAAGAACGCAGCGAAUUGCGAUACGUAAUGUGAAUUGCAGAUUUUCAGUGAAUCAUCGAAUCUUUGAAUGCACCUUGCGCUCCUUGGUAUUCCGAGGAGCAUGCCUGUUUGAGUGUCAUUGAAUUCUCAACCAUCUUUUUGAUUAAUUUCAAGGGAUGGCUUGGAUCUUGGGGGUUGCUGGCUUCUCUCACCCUUCGGGAUGGGGUCGGCUCUCCUUAAAAGCAUUAGCGAAAGGCGACGAAGCCCUGCAUGCACGGCCUUUGACGUGAUAAUGAUCGUCGCGGCUGGAGUGCGAGGCGUAGAUCGUUCCUUUGCUUCCAAAAACAUGGUAUCGGGGAUGAACCCUUUACCUUUUGACACUUGACCUCAAAUCAGGUAGGACUACCCGCUGAACUUAAGCAUAUCAAUAAGCGGAGGAAAAGAAACUAACAAGGAUUCCCCUAGUAACUGCGAGUGAAGCGGGAAGAGCUCAAAUUUUGAAUCUGGCGGUCUUUCGGCCGUCCGAGUUGUAAUCUAGAGAAGCGUUUUCCGCGCUGGACCGUGUACAAGUCUCCUGGAAGGGAGCGUCAUAGAGGGUGAGAAUCCCGUCUCUGACACGGACUACCAGUGCUAUGUGAUGCGCUCUCGACGAGUCGAGUUGUUUGGGAAUGCAGCUCAAAUCGGGUGGUAAAUUCCAUCUAAAGCUAAAUAUAGGCGAGAGACCGAUAGCGAACAAGUACCGUGAGGGAAAGAUGAAAAGAACUUUGGAAAGAGAGUUAAACCGUACGUGAAAUUGCUGAAAGGGAAACGCUUGAAGU